rnacentral:rRNA from 2 species
CAGACUUUGAUCUGGCUCAGGAUGAACGCUAGCUACAGGCUUAACACAUGCAAGUCGAGGGGAAACGAUAUUGGAAGCUUGCUUCCGAUAGGCGUCGACCGGCGCACGGGUGAGUAACGCGUAUCCAACCUGCCCAUCACUUGGGGAUAACCUUGCGAAAGUAAGACUAAUACCCAAUGAUAUCUCUAGAAGACAUCUGAAGGAGAUUAAAGAUUUAUCGGUGAUGGAUGGGGAUGCGUCUGAUUAGCUUGUUGGCGGGGUAACGGCCCACCAAGGCAACGAUCAGUAGGGGUUCUGAGAGGAAGGUCCCCCACAUUGGAACUGAGACACGGUCCAAACUCCUACGGGAGGCAGCAGUGAGGAAUAUUGGUCAAUGGACGAGAGUCUGAACCAGCCAAGUAGCGUGCAGGAUGACGGCCCUAUGGGUUGUAAACUGCUUUUAUAAGGGAAUAAAGUGGGAGUCGUGACUCUUUUUGCAUGUACCUUAUGAAUAAGGACCGGCUAAUUCCGUGCCAGCAGCCGCGGUAAUACGGAAGGUCCGGGCGUUAUCCGGAUUUAUUGGGUUUAAAGGGAGCGUAGGCCGGAGAUUAAGCGUGUUGUGAAAUGUAGAUGCUCAACAUCUGCACUGCAGCGCGAACUGGUUUCCCUGAGUACGCACAAAGUGGGCGGAAUUCGUGGUGUAGCGGUGAAAUGCUUAGAUAUCACGAAGAACUCCGAUUGCGAAGGCAGCUCACUGGAGCGCAACUGACGCUGAAGCUCGAAAGUGCGGGUAUCGAACAGGAUUAGAUACCCUGGUAGUCCGCACGGUAAACGAUGGAUGCCCGCUGUUGGUCUGAAUAGGUCAGCGGCCAAGCGAAAGCAUUAAGCAUCCCACCUGGGGAGUACGCCGGCAACGGUGCAACUCAAAUGAAUUGACGGA